UGAAACACGGACCAAGGAGUCUAACAUAUGCGCGAGCCAAUGGGCGGAAAACCCAAAGGCGCAAUAAAAGUAAAAGCUGUUUCGGACAGCCGAGGUACGAUCCUAUCGUAAUUGGUAGGCGCAGUACCGUCCCGUCCCGACCGCAUAUCGGUAGGGCGGAGAUAGAGUGCAUACGUUGGGACCCGAAAGAUGGUGAACUAUGCCUGAGCAGAGCGAAGCCAGAGGAAACUCUGGUGGAGGUUCGUAGCGGUUCUGACGUGCAAAUCGAUCGUCAGACUUGGGUAUAGGGGCGAAAGACUAAUCGAACCAUCUAGUAGCUGGUUCCCCCUGAAGUUUCCCUCAGGAUAGCUGAUACUCGUCAAUGAACGAAGUUUUAUCCGGUAAAGCGAAUGAUUAGAGGCCUUGGGGACGAAAUGACCUCAACCUAUUCUCAAACUUUAAAUGGGUAAGAAGUCGAGCUUGCUCGAUCGAAGCCCGACACAAGAAUUCGAGUAUCAUGUGGGCCAUUUUUGGUAAGCA
rnacentral:rRNA from 1 species